rnacentral:lncRNA from 1 species
GCCCAGGUAUGGAUUUUGGAGUUUCUAGACAAUUUGUGGAAAAAAAAAGAGGAAGGAGAAGAUGGUAGUGGAAAAGGAUGGAAAGCUAGAAGACCAUUUAUGGCAACUUUAUUGGGUUUUCUUCAGGGAAGACACAGAAGAGAACAUGUUUUGUAGACGUUUUUUACAUUUUGUGGGAGAGGAAAAUAUAUCCCAAAUUGUAACAGAAGGUUGAAAUGUGAACAUUGUAGCUAGUAUUAGAUUUCUGUUCUUGCAGCACAGUAAUCUAUACCUUCAUCAA